rnacentral:rRNA from 1 species
UACGGAGGGUGCAAGCGUUAUCCGGAUUCACUGGGUUUAAAGGGUGCGUAGGCGGGUAUAUAAGUCAGUGGUGAAAGCUCCGAGCUUAACUUGGAAACUGCCAUUGAUACUGUAUAUCUUGAAUGUCGUAGAGGUUAGCGGAAUGUUGCAUGUAGCGGUGAAAUGCGUAGAUAUGCGGAGGAACACCGAUGGCGAAGGCAAUCCCCUGGGCCUGCACUGACGCUCAUGCACGAAAAGCGUGGGGAGCAAACAGG